AUUGAACGCUGGCGGCGUGCCUUACACAUGCAAGUCGAACGGUAACAGGUCUUCGGAUGCUGACGAGUGGCGAACGGGUGAGUAAUACAUCGGAACGUGCCCAGACGUGGGGGAUAACGAGGCGAAAGCUUUGCUAAUACCGCAUACGAUCUAAGGAUGAAAGCAGGGGACCGCAAGGCCUUGCGCGUUUGGAGCGGCCGAUGGCAGAUUAGGUAGUUGGUGGGAUAAAAGCUUACCAAGCCGACGAUCUGUAGCUGGUCUGAGAGGACGACCAGCCACACUGGGACUGAGACACGGCCCAGACUCCUACGGGAGGCAGCAGUGGGGAAUUUUGGACAAUGGGCGAAAGCCUGAUCCAGCAAUGCCGCGUGCAGGAUGAAGGCCUUCGGGUUGUAAACUGCUUUUGUACGGAACGAAAAGGCUCUGGCUAAUACCUGGGGCACAUGACGGUACCGUAAGAAUAAGCACCGGCUAACUACGUG
rnacentral:rRNA from 1 species